CCGGACCCCACUCUCGGUACCACGCCGGCUCCCUCCAGCCGGGAGCCGGCGCCCGGCAGGGAGAGCGGCCUGGAG
rnacentral:precursor_RNA from 1 species